GGAGAGAUGGCUCAGUGGUUAAGAGCACUUCUAGAGGACCUGAGUUCAAUUCCCAGUACCUACA
rnacentral:tRNA from 1 species